rnacentral:rRNA from 1 species
AGUGGACGCUGGCGGUAGGCCUAACACAUGCAAGUCGAACGGCGGCACAGUAAGAGCUUGCUCUUACGGGUGGCGAGUGGCGGACGGGUGAGGAAUACAUCGGAAUCUACUUUUUCGUGGGGGAUAACGUAGGGAAACUUACGCUAAUACCGCAUACGACCUACGGGUGAAAGCAGGGGAUCUUCGGACCUUGCGCGAUUGAAUGAGCCGAUGUCGGAUUAGCUAGUUGGCGGGGUAAAGGCCCACCAAGGCGACGAUCCGUAGCUGGUCUGAGAGGAUGAUCAGCCACACUGGAACUGAGACACGGUCCAGACUCCUACGGGAGGCAGCAGUGGGGAAUAUUGGACAAUGGGCGCAAGCCUGAUCCAGCCAUACCGCGUGGGUGAAGAAGGCCUUCGGGUUGUAAAGCCCUUUUGUUGGGAAAGAAAAGCAGCAGGUUAAUACCCCGCUGUUCUGACGGUACCCAAAGAAUAAGCACCGGCUAACUUCGAG